ensembl:lncRNA
GUCAAAACAACAUUUUAUAAAUAAAUAUUAUCAUAAAUAAUCAAAAUAUUCAUAACUCAUAUUACAUUCAAAUGAAAUGUAUUUAUUUAUUUUAUUAUUAAAUAAUAAAUAUUAUUAUAUUAUCAUACAUUUUAUAAUAUUAAAAUAUUCAUAACUCAUAUGGUUAAAUUGUUGUAAUCUAUUGAUUAGACAACGUCUAGACCUUUAGGUCCCACUUGUUUCCAAAGCCCCGGUUUCAUGCUAAUUGCCAUUCCAGCCAUUUUUUCCAUUUCUCUGGUGUCCCGUCACACGGCUCCUCUCUGACUUCAGAGGCAGAUGAGCAGACAGCUGUGCAAUAUCCUCUCUCAUCCUUCCUCUGACCCUAGUCUCUCUUUACACCUCCUCCAUCAUUCGCUCCCUUGAGGAUGGCAGGAAGGGAUGUAGACGUGACUAUCGAGAGGAUGGACAGUUUUAAUACCGUGCUUGUGCCCCCACCCCCCCACCCCACCAGGGAUCGGUUACCCCUGAAGACAUUACAAGCUCCAAAAUGAAUCACAUCCAUUUCUCACCGUGCACAAGAUGACAGGAGUGAGACCCAGUUUGUGGGCCGAAUCGCUUCGCAACCAUUUGCAACGUGGAAGCGAAGGAUCACAGAGCGAGGUCCACUCCUGUGACCCGUAGUUAAAGCAAGAGACUCCCUAUUGAUAUUAGAGAUAUUACAGUACCAGCGUCUUAAAGUUUGAGUCUGCAUUAGUUUGCAGUCCUGACCAGAUCAACACAACAACAUCGACUCAAGCAAUGGCAGAAGUUUACAGCGGGACGGUCUGCUUGUCUCACCAAUGGAUGACUAGAUGCAUUGCGGCAGGUUUGAUUUCAUUGACAUGGUUCUGACAUGUGAAAGACGCAGUUGUAAUGUGAAAGCUACUGCAGAGGAGAAGAUCAAUACUUCAGAAGACUAGCACACGAGUCACAUGGUGAAAUUUUACCUGGUUAUGGUGAGAUUUACCCUUACUGACACUUCUUGCUGAAAUUGUAGUUCUUUCCGAUACUUCCAACUGCAGUCAUAAUCCCAUGAAGCUGAAGUGCGUUGGUAAAGAGUUGAGAAGUCAGGCUCAAUUCAAGUUUUAUUAUAGGGCAAGUUUAUAUUAGCAGCAGGACAGUCAAUACGAUCACUCUCUUCUCAUUUGGCCAUAUCUCACUCUGCAAACUCAGUUGGACAGCGCGAGUCUUUUCAUCUUCGGCAUCAGGAUUUUUCAUUUGCCUUUCUGAAGGGGAAUAAUUUUCCUGUGUGAGAAGCAAUAAAAGUGCA